rnacentral:rRNA from 1 species
AUACGUAGGUGGCAAGCGUUGUCCGGAUUUAUUGGGCGUAAAGCGAGUGCAGGCGGUCUUUUAAGUCUGAUGUGAAAGCCCUCGGCUUAACCGAGGAAGCGCAUCGGAAACUGGGAAACUUGAGUGCAGAAGAGGACGGUGGAACUCCAUGUGUAGCGGUGAAAUGCGUAGAUAUAUGGAAGAACACCAGUGGCGAAGGCGGCUGUCUGGUCUGUAACUGACGCUGAGGCUCGAAAGCAUGGGUAGC